ensembl:lncRNA
CGGGAGACUCCCAGCCACCAGCAAGCUUUAUGUAGGUCCAGUGCUGGGCUCAGAUGACUUGGGUAAAUCAGACUUGCUGUCUGCCCUAAUGAAAACCAUGAUCUGCUACCAACCUGGGGGCCAGGAAGUCAUGCACCUGCAUCUGGAUCCUUCUGGUACCUGUGAAAUGUAGAUCCCCAGGCCUGCUCUCUGGAAAUAUAAAUCUGGGUCUGGUAGCAGAGAGCUGCUGCGGGCCCAGGAUCCGCGGGCGUGGGACCUCCAGCAAACACAGGACGUGCCCGGUCCUAGAUGAACUCUGCCUCUGUGUGUCCCGAUCUCACCAG